UCUCCGUCGGUGAACCAGCGGAGGGAUCAUUAAAGAGUGUUACAACUCCUAAAACCCAUGUGAACAUACCUUACGUUGCCUCGGCAGGUCGCGGCCUACCCUGUGGUGCCCUACCCGGUAGACGCCGGUAAGCCUGCCGGUGGCCCACGAAACUCUGUUUGAUAUUGAAUUCUGAACCUAUAACUAAAUAAGUUAAAACUUUCAACAACGGAUCUCUUGGUUCUG
rnacentral:misc_RNA from 1 species